AGCGAACGCUGGCGGCAGGCCUAACACAUGCAAGUCGAACGAACUCUUCGGAGUUAGUGGCGGACGGGUGGGUAACACGUGGGAACGUGCCUUUUGGUUCGGAAUAACUCAGGGAAACUUGUGCUAAUACCGAAUGUGCCCUUCGGGGGAAAGAUUUAUCGCCAUUAGAGCGGCCCGCGUCUGAUUAGCUAGUUGGUGAGGUAACGGCUCACCAAGGCGACGAUCAGUAGCUGGUCUGAGAGGAUGACCAGCCACACUGGGACUGAGACACGGCCCAGAAUCCUACGGGAGGCAGCAGUGGGGAAUCUUGCGCAAUGGGCGAAAGCCUGACGCAGCCAUGCCGCGUGAAUGAUGAAGGUCUUAGGAUUGUAAAAUUCUUUCACCGGGGACGAUAAUGACGGUACCCGGAGAAGAAGCCCCGGCUAACUUCGUG
rnacentral:rRNA from 1 species